rnacentral:rRNA from 1 species
UUUUCAGAGAUGAGAAUGUGCCUUCGGGAACCGUGAGACAGGUGCUGCAUGGCUGUCGUCAGCUCGUGUUGUGAAAUGUUGGGUUAAGUCCCGCAACGAGCGCAACCCUUAUCCUUUGUUGCCAGCGAUUAGGUCGGGAACUCAAAGGAGACUGCCAGUGAUAAACUGGAGGAAGGUGGGGAUGACGUCAAGUCAUCAUGGCCCUUACGACCAGGGCUACACACGUGCUACAAUGGCGCAUACAAAGAGAAGCGACCU